UACGUAGGGGCCGAGCGUUGUCCGGAGUUAUUGGGCGUAAAGCGCGCGCAGGCGGCUUCGCGCGCCCGACGUGAAAGCCCCCGGCUUAACCGGGGAGAGUCGUUGGGGACGGCGGAGCUUGAGGGCGGGAGAGGUCGGUGGAAUUCCCGGUGUAGUGGUGAAAUGCGUAGAGAUGUGGAGGAACACCGAUGGCGAAGGCAGCCCCCUGGGUUAACACUGACGCUCAGGCACGAAAGCGUGGGGAGCAAACAGG
rnacentral:rRNA from 1 species